rnacentral:rRNA from 1 species
UGGGGAAUUUUCCGCAAUGGGGGCAACCCUGACGGAGCAACGCCGCGUGGGGGAGGACUGUCUGUGGAUUGUAAACCCCUUUUCUCAGGGAAGAAGUUCUGACGGUACCUGAGGAAUCAGCAUCGGCUAACUCCGUGCCAGCAGCCGCGGUAAGACGGAGGAUGCAAGCGUUAUCCGGAAUUACUGGGCGUAAAGCGCACGUAGGCGGACCAUUAAGUCAGGGGUGAAAUCCCGGGGCUCAACCCCGGAACUGCCCUUGAUACUGGUAGUCUUGAGUUCGAGAGAGGUGAGUGGAAUUCCGAGUGUAGAGGUGAAAUUCGUAGAUAUUCGGAGGAACACCAGUGGCGAAGGCGGCUCACUGGCUCGAUACUGACGCUGAGGUGCGAAAGCGUGGGGAGCAAACAGG